rnacentral:lncRNA from 1 species
AGGGGUCCCAGAUGAAUUCCCAUUUGACAAACUGUUGGUUAUAUGCUGCCGUCUUUGUUCAGCAUCGCCAUUUGGCUUCACUUCUGUCAGUAGCAUGUCUAUAAGCUGAUCACACCAUUCUCUCGUUUCAACUAUGUAGAAGAACAUUCUUGUAUUAUCAGGCAAUUACGGCAACGAUUGUUGUUGUGCAUAGUUUUGAUUUGUUCACAAAGACUUUGCUUCGGUUGCAUUAUUCUUUGUGCAAGCUAGGGGAUAAACUGCUCGUUGAUAAGAGUAGCAUUCCUGUCUAAUGGAACUGUGCUCAAAGGAGCAGCAUGGUAGCAGCGAAAGCUGCUUGUGUACAUUAUGUCCAGACUCUAGCAUGUAAUUCCAAGAAGUGAUUUUAGGCAUCAAAAGAAAAAUAUCUGCUGCUUUUUACGCAAAUAGAUGCCGUCUUGGAAUGUUAAUAAAUCGGUUUGGAUCAAGGAAGCAAAGCUUUCUUAUACUGAACUGAAUAUAACGGGACUAGAUACUC